rnacentral:tRNA from 1 species
CCACUGGUAGCUCAGUCUGGUAGAGCCCUCCUGAAAGGAGCUGUCGCAGGUUCGACUCCUGCCCGUCGCUCCG